ACUAUUUUCUAGUUGUAUAAUCUAUCGGUCAUGUUCUUUUAUCAAGAGUUGAGAAAACUCUUUGAAAUAAAUACUAGUAAUACAUUAUUUCCUCUAAUAUUCAGCAAGAUUUUAGUAUUUUACUCAGGCAUGUUUGACUAUGUUUCAUAAGGAAAGCAGGAAAUGGUCAUAUGAGUCAAGUCUCCAAUAACUUUGAUUUUCUUUACAAAUUUUCUUACUUUGGUUUAGAAAUGAGAAGCAUGUUUUAUGGAAGGUUUUUGGGGGAGAUAUUAAUAAUAUUUUAUUUAAUCAUCUGGUAUUCAGAGCCGAGGAUAGAUCGGAAACAACGUCUCUAUCUUCUCAAUGUAAGGGUAAGGUCUGCAUACACGCUACCCUCUCCUGAUCCCACUUGUGAGAUUACACUAGGUUUAUUGUUGUUGUUGUUGUAGCUGCCACGUCGUUCGUUGUUAAUGUCGUUGUUGUAUUUGGUAUUCAUAACUCAUUGUCCCAAUUAGGGGUGGCAAAAUGAUUAAAAGAAAACAAUUAAUCACCCAUAUUAUUCACUAAAAAUGGGUUGGAUAAUGAAUUUUUUAAAAACGGUUCAAAUAUGGAUAAGAACCAUAUUAUUCAUUUAGAAAAUGGAUAAUCAAUGGUAAUCAAUGGAUAACCAAUGAGUCUAACUUUUACAUUUGUAAAGCCUCAAAUUGGGGGUUCCUUAAGUUAGGGAGACUAAGAAUUCUCCUAGAAGUCAUCAUAUGCAAGAAGUCAUGAAUAAUAUGGUUACCCAUAUUAUCCGCCGGUUAACCCGUUUUAUACCUGCAUUAAAUAUGGGUCGGAUCGAAUAAUUUAUCCAUUUUUUAUUACCCGUUUUCGACCCGAACCAUAUCCGACCCGCCCGUUUGCCACUCCUAGUCCUAAGUAAUAGCCUGUUUGGCCAAGCUUCUAAAAUCAGCUUAUUUUGAGAAGUGCUUUUCUACUUUUAAAAAUAGUGCUUUUGGUGAGAAGCAGUUUGUGUUUGGCUAAUUAAUUUGAAAAACACUUUUGAGCAAUAAUUAGUGUUUGGCCAAGCUUUUGAAAAUUACUUCUAAGUGUAUUUUUCUCAAAAGUGCUUCUCAGAAAAGUACUUUUAGAGAGAAACUACUUUUUUCUGCUUCUCAAAAACUGCAUCUGCUUCUCCUCAAAAGCACUUUUUUUCCUUCUAAAAGUUUGGUCAAACACCUCAAUUUUUGGUCAAAAGUGUUUUUGGCUAAAAAAACACUUUUGGCCCAAAAAAAAGCUUGGCCAAACAGGCUAUAAGUCAGUUCACGCCGUGCUUGGCUUGUUUAAGGGAAACUAUGUAUUAGAAUUUUUUUCUAUUUUCGGAAUUCAAACCCGAGAUCUCCGGUUGUGGGUGUAAGGUUUCAUUCAUCACGUCAUAACACAUUCCUUGAUGGUGACAUUAUAAUGUUCUUUUAUUGACAACCAAAGAAGUCAAACGACUUUAUCCCUUAGGAAUUUAAUUUGGACAUAUAAUAGCGUGAAAUUUGCUGUUGCUUUUCUAACAAGGAGUUGGUAUUAAGUUUCAAUUGCUAAAAAAUGACUUAUUUUAUAAAAUUAUUUUCUCUUUUACUUCCUUCCACAACAAAGACCAUUGCAAAGACGGUGGGUUUUGUUCGGUUCCUAUCUAUUGUUAGUGUUAAGGGGAGAAUUGAGCCAGCCCUAGUACCAAAGAACUGCGUUGGGCUAACCGAUGGUGUACCGAUUGUUAUGUCAAUACCAACGCCGGACGCCUAAGUUGGUAUGGAAUAACUGUUGCACCGGGCACACAUCGUCAUAUGUCACAACACUAAAAAAAAAA
rnacentral:lncRNA from 1 species